UAAGGGGAGAGGUGUGGUGUAGGACAGGGUCUCUCUAGUCUUUCAUUCACCUCUGCUCUUGC
rnacentral:ncRNA from 2 species